UUUUUAAUCACACAAUACCAACAAUAGACUUUGCAUUAGCGUACCACUGAAUGAAGUGUAUUGUCAUUGACAAUACUGAUACUCGUUGGAUUUUGAAGCUUUUUUCGAGAUUGUUUAUACAUUACGAAAUCCGAAGGAAGGCUUGUUUCGUUCUUCAAUUUCAUAAAAGAAUUUCCUAACGAGGGCGAGCUAGCGAGAUUUACAAUCAACGAUUGGAACAAAUAUUUUGAAGAAGCAAUAAAAGGUAUUUGUUUCCACAUUCUGUGAACAAGCAACAGCAUUCUACAAAGGAUUUACUGUAAAAAAAUAGCAACUUUUGAGUGGGAGCAGCUGAAAAACGCUCAGCAUGCAAAUUGUAUUAGGAAACAGCAAAUAUUGGACUGGAGAUGCAGAUUGGAGACCGAAUUAUUGGCAAAUGGAAGAAUUAUUUUACUGCUGAGCAAUCUAGUGAAAUAGACGGACAAGUGGAAGAAAAAAUGGAAGGAACAGGAAUUAAUUUUAUAUAUGAAUAAGUUUUAUCAUUGAAACACUGAUCUUGCUUAAGUUAAUUAGGCUAAACAACUAUAUGACAUAAGUAGACUACAAUGUAAUCCCAUAUAUAUUAUGCAGAGCGUACGAGAAUCACAAGAGAGA